AUUGAACGCUGGCGGCAGGCCUAACACAUGCAAGUCGAGCGGAAGAAGGGAGCUUGCUCCUGGAUUCAGCGGCGGACGGGUGAGUAAUGCCUAGGAAUCUGCCUGGUAGUGGGGGAUAACGUCCGGAAACGGGCGCUAAUACCACAUACGUCCUGAGGGAGAAAGUGGGGGAUCUUCGGACCUCACGCUAUCAGAUGAGCCUAGGUCGGAUUAGCUAGUUGGUGGGGUAAAGGCCUACCAAGGCGACGAUCCGUAACUGGUCUGAGAGGAUGAUCAGUCACACUGGAACUGAGACACGGUCCAGACUCCUACGGGAGGCAGCAGUGGGGAAUAUUGGACAAUGGGCGAAAGCCUGAUCCAGCCAUGCCGCGUGUGUGAAGAAGGUCUUCGGAUUGUAAAGCACUUUAAGUUGGGAGGAAGGGCAGUAAGUUAAUACCUUGCUGUCUUGACGUUACCAACAGAAUAAGCACCGGCUAACUUCGUG
rnacentral:rRNA from 1 species